rnacentral:rRNA from 1 species
CCUACGGGCGGCAGCAGUGAGGAAUAUUGGUCAAUGGGCGGGAGCCUGAACCAGCCAAGUAGCGUGCGGGAUGAAGGCACAACGUAUCGUAAACCGCUUUUGCACGGGGAUAACACCCUCCACUAGUGGCCGUCUGCAGGUACCGUACGAAUAAGCGCCGGCUAACUCCGUGCCAGCAGCCGCGGUAAUACGGAAGAUGCGAGCGUUAUCCGGAUUUAUUGGGUUUAAAGGGAGCGCAGGCGGCCGGUCAAGUCAGCGGUAAAAGCGCGGGGCUCAACCGCGCCGAGCAGUUGAAACUGGGGGACUUGAGUUGAAAAGAGGAAGGCGGAAUGCGCGGUGUAGCGGUGAAAUGCAUAGAUAUCACGCGGAACCCCGAUUGCGAAGGCAGCCUGCCGGGGUGCGACUGACGCUGAGGCUCGAAGGCGUGGGUAUCAAACAGGAUUAGAUACCCGUGUAGUC